rnacentral:rRNA from 1 species
GACGAACGCUGGCGGUGUGCUUAACACAUGCAAGUCGAACGGUAAGGCCCUUUCGGGGGUACACGAGUGGCGAACAGGUGAGUAACACGUGAGUAACCUGCCCUCAUCUCUGGGAUAACAGUCGGAAACGGUUGCUAAUACUGGAUAUGAGCUUGCAAGGCAUCUUGUGGGUUGGAAAGAUUUUUUUGGUUGGGGAUGGACUCGCGGCCUAUCAGCUUGUUGGUGAGGUAGUGGCUCACCAAGGCUUCGACGGGUAGCCGGCCUGAGAGGGCGACAGGCCACAUUGGGACUGAGAUACGGCCCAAACUCGUACGGGAGGCAGCAGUGGGGAAUAUUGCACAAUGGACGGAAGUCUGAUGCAGCAACGCCGCGUGCGGGAUGACGGCCUUCGGGUUGUAAACCGCUUUCAAUUGUGACGAAGCUUUUUGUGACGGUAGCAGUAGAAGAAGCACCGGCUAACUACGUG